UACGUAGGGUGCAAGCGUUGUCCGGAAUUAUUGGGCGUAAAGAGCUCGUAGGCGGUCUGUCGCGUCUGCUGUGAAAACCUAGGGCUUAACUCUGGGCGUGCAGUGGGUACGGGCAGGCUAGAGUGCGGUAGGGGAGACUGGAAUUCCUGGUGUAGCGGUGAAAUGCGUAGAUAUCGGGAGGAACACCUAUGGCGAAAGCACCUGCCUGGGCUUCUAUUGACGCUAAGACUCGAAAGCUGGGGGAGCAAACAGG
rnacentral:rRNA from 1 species